UUCCUCCCAGAAGGGUAUUUUUUUAAAUUUUUUUAAAACCUGUUAAAAAUGUUCCUGCACCGUAAGUCAUCCUGAGGUUAAGGCCAAGGGCGCAGAGUCUGUGCGCGUGUCUGUGAGCACACCCACGGUGCAUGCACCGUUUUUUGAUGUCUUCUGUGAGAUCACUGGACACACUUUGGUCACUGGUGUGUGCAAAGGGUGGUGGGGGGAGUGUCCCAGGACAGAAGUGCAGAAACCAGCAAAGCCCUUAGGGAGCCUCCGGUGUACGGGACAGAAGGGCAGGGAGAACUCAGGAAGGAUCAGCAGAAGGAGAUGGACAGAAAAGGGGCCUCCACACAACCAACAGAAAUAAACCCUGAAGGCCAGUGGCGCCCAGAUCAGCAGGCGGGCGGUGAACGCGUGUUUAGUAGCAUGCUUCUUCCCCUCAAAGGACAUCGUCACUGUACAAGGUGAGCGAGCUCAAAAAAGGGCAUCUUGACAGAUACAGGGUUUACCUUUAAGAUGGGGGGAGCUGGGGGUUGCUGGAGAAGCUGUUCAGAAGGACCCAUUCUGACCCUGCCUCGUGGGUGCCUGAAUCUAAGAGAGCAGUAGCUGACACGUCCCUACAAGCAGCACUUGUGAAACUUCUUUCUGUCUACCUAGUGUCAGCUUCAAGCCUCAUGGAGGGAGAAGCAUCUGAGGGUUGCACGCGCCUUUCAGGGAGGUCGUCUGCCUGUCUCAGAUGAGCUCCCAGCUAAGUAAGAAAUCAAUUCAUUUCCGGAGCAUCACAAAUUGACAAGGCUAUGAAUUCUAAAGCACAACAUUGAAAUGCCAGGGACUAAUUCUCUUUAUGACCUACAGGAUGCGACUGAGUAACUCAAAGUGUGCGUGCAUCUACGUGUGUGUGCGAACCAAGAAAGGCCGAGAGUUCAAGGUCUCAGGCAGAGAAAACUCCGGAGUCCCUGGAGGUGGCGGACCUUCUGAAAGAGAGGAAUCCAGACACUCCCCACCCUGGACCUAGAGCCGGAAUAGGUGGCACCUACUCACAAUGGUACAAACGCUGGUCUGCUGUCACUGUGUACGGGAGGCAACGGAGAGACCACCACCCCACAAAUGCAAUCUAGCAGAUUGGAACCCUGAUAAGAUGGUGCCUCUGCAGCCUUGCAGGGGCACGAGGAGACUGUGAUCAAGUCUGUUACUCGUUACAGUACUGUGAACAUCACCACACGGAAACACUGACUGUGGGCAGAACAAUCUCUCGCUUACGAUACUGUGUGUUGCAAAUAAUGCCUAGACCAGAGCAGGGCAGGCGCCACGACUCACCACAGGCAAGAUCAGCAAAGCGCUUCUGUGAGGACAAAGAGGAGGCUGCAGGCUCUCCCGGGUCGGACACCUCACUGCUCACAGCUACACGCAGCUUCACAGAUGCAAAGGAAGCAGGGAGCUGACGCGCGGCUGAGGGUCGUGGACGGGGAAGAGGACCAUCAAGCAACAGUCUCCUGCCCCACAGAGCCAGAGAGUUUCCUUAUAAUUCAAUUCACUUAAAAACGAUUAAGAAAGAAGAAAGAAAAAUUAAAAUGGAGCGAGGAGGAGGAGGAGGAGGUCUUUUUUUGAAAUUGACAUAAGGAUUAAGGUCAGCAGAGUGAGGCAUGGUUUCCUGAGCUUGAAAGGGUUCUGAAUUCAGGAAAGGACGAGUACUUUUUUCCAGAGAACACUGGAGCCUUUGGGGCCCCACCACUGCACCAGGUUAACACUGCACGGCUAAGACGGAGACUCCGGGACCACACGGGCUGACAGAACCGCAGGACCCCCAGACUGUGCCGGGCCGGCAGGUGGGCCGGCGGACAGAGGUCUCGUUCUACCUCACUGUGCCGACCUUACUGCCUCUGCUCUCACUCCCCUUCCCUGCCAGCACGUGGGGGGGGGAUACCAUGGACACAGAAACUGUAGAACAAGGAUGCAAAGCUACUUCCUUCCCCUUUCUGCCCUCUCCUCCCCCCUCUUUGCAGAAUGCAUAGUUACAAUUCACGUUACAAAAUAAAGAAGCAAUGAUGACCACAUAUGGGAUCUUUUUUUUUUGAAAAAAGAAAAAUCCAACAACCUCUUCUUAAAUUCAGUAUCAAAAUUCACAUUUGCAUAAUAAUACAUUUCAAGGCCAUUA